rnacentral:rRNA from 1 species
GUAGUCUCGCACAGAUGCAUAUCAAUAAGCGGAGGAAAAGAAACUAACAAGGAUACCCCUAGUAACGGCGAGUGAAGCGGGAAGAGCUCAAAUUUGAAAUCUUAAAGGGUUUCCCUUUACGAAUUGUAGUUUAAAGAAGUGUUUUCUGUUGAGGUUUUGGUAAAAGUUCUUUGGAAUAGGACAUCAUAGAGGGUGAGAAUCCCGUAUUUGACCUUUACUUUCAACUUUGUGAUACACUUUCAAAGAGUCGGAUAGUUUGGGAAUGCAGUCCAAAAUGGGUGGUAAAUUUCAUCUAAAGCUAAAUAUUGGCGAGAGACCGAUAGCGAACAAGUACCGUGAGGGAAAGAUGAAAAGAACUUUGAAAAGAGAGUUAAACAGUACGUGAAAUUGUCAAAAGGGAAGCGUUUGACACCAGUGUUGUUUUUCUGAAAAUCAAUUAAAGAACUGUUUAUGCUAAGCUGUUUAGACUUUAUCAGCUAACUGUCUAGUUUUGAGCUUUUCUUUAAUGCACUUUUCAGUUAACAAGUCAACAUCAAUUUCUUUUGCUGUAAAAAAGCUUGAGGAAGGUGGCUUGAGAUUCGUCUUAAGUGUUUAUAGCCUCUUGCCUAUGCAGUCGGAGAGAUUGAGGUCUGCAGCGUAGAUCCUUCGGGGCUAAAUGCAUUUGUGCUAAGUUAUAGCAUUUUAUAGACAACUUGUUGACUAUGAUUUGUCUUGUAGCUUACUCGCUUAUGUUAUUUUACCUACGCUUAGGAUGUUGAGUAGCGACAUACGCAC